GUGCUUGCUUUGGCAACACAUAUACUAAAACUGAAUGAUACAGAGAAGAUUGGCAUAGCCCCUGAGCAAGAAUGACAUGCAAAUUCGUGAGCUGAUCCAUAUUUUC
ensembl:snRNA U6 U6 spliceosomal RNA